UUAAAGUUUUAUUUUAGCUUAAAAUUUUAUUAUUGAUUUAUUUUAUAUGUAAGUUUUUGCGUGAAUUUUUAUUUAUUUUAAUAAUAAAUAAAUUUUAUUAUAUUUUCAGUAAUUAAUUUUAUUUAUUAAAGCAAUUUAUAAAUAGUAAUUUUAUUAUAGUAUUGGCUAAAUUUGUGCCAGCAGCUGCGGUUAUACAAAUAAUACAAGUAAAAUUAGUUCAGUGUAAGUUAAAUUUUAUAUUAAUAGAAUAAUUAUAAAUUUAUUAGGUGAAAUUUUAAAUUUAUUUAUUUCUAAUUUUUUUUAUUGAAGCUUGUAAAUUUUAUAAAUAAACUAGGAUUAGAUACCCUAUUAUUUUAAAUGUAAUUUUAAACACUAAGGUAGUAGUAGUUAUGUUCUUAAAACUUAAAAAAUUUGGCGGUAUUUUAGUCUAUUCAGAGGAACCUGUUCUUUAAUCGAUAGUCCACGAUGUACCUUACUUAAGUUUGUUUUUCAGUUUAUAUACCGUCGUUAUUAGAAUAUUUUAUUAGAAUAAUAAUUUUCUAUAAUUUUUAUUAAAAUUUAUAUCAGAUCAAGGUGUAGCUUAUAUUUAAGUAGAGAUGGGUUACAAUAAAAUUAUUUAAGCGAAUUUAAAUUUGAAAUAUUUAAUGAAGAUGGAUUUGAUAGUAAAGUUUUAAAGAUAAAAAAUUUGAUUUUAGCUCUAAAAUAUGUACACAUCGCCCGUCACUCUUACUAUUAAGGUAAGAUAAGUCGUAACAUAGUAGAUGUACCGGAAGGUGUAUCUAGAAUGA
rnacentral:ncRNA from 1 species